CCUUCCUUGGUGGAGCUUUCCCCUGCAAACCUGGAAUUUUCUGAUAUGGGAAGGACUGACUGCUUUCUGCUGGAAAACACAGCUCAGUUCCACAGAAGGAAUGCAGCAAGGUAGCUGUGAGCAGAAUAUGCAGAAAUAAAGCAAAUAAGGAUUUUUCUUCUCUUGCUCCUUUGGGGAUAAUAUAUCACUCUGAAUUGGAUUCAGCUGACAGAAAUGGCCUUUCUUUACUUUAAAAUGCCUCUGACCUUUUCCUCAGUUAACUGGACACCAUUUACCACAUUGGCCUGAGAAAAAAAGCAAAGUCUUUUUUGGAUAACAGUUUCAGGAACGAAAUCCAACUUGUGCUGGAUCUGCUGAUCACACGUGGCUCUGCUCCUUCCCUGCUCAUGCGACACAAGCAGUGUGACUGCAGUGUGUGUGUAAGCUCAUGCUGCCAAAAGGAAGGGAACGUUCAGUUUUAAACAUGUUUGACUGAAGUUA